GCUGUGCGCAUCCUUACCCUUCAGCUUGCAGCGGGGUUUGCCUGCAGCCGGCCGCCACCAGCAGGAGAGGUGCGUUAUCUCCAUCCAGCUGCACCGUGAGCUAAUUGCAAAUGCAAACAUGCAGAAUUUGCCAUAAAAUGAGUGAGCCACAUAGUGGCACCUACCUACCUCAUCACGGGCAUUUAUGAAGAGGCAUUCAAGAUGCAGUCAAGGCAACCAUGAUGAAGAGCACCGAACAAUUUCCCAGUCAUCUUUUAUGGAUGGAAUACCUGAAAACUGAAUGCAAGAGAAUCAGAGAAUUUCAGGAGUUGGAAGGGACAUCAAGAGAUCGAGUACAACUCCCCUUCUAAAGCAGGUUCCCUACAAUAAAUCACACAGAUCACAAACACUAAGCUGGAGACACCUGCUUAGAGAACUGGAGGUAACAGAGCGAUGCAGGAGGAGGCAGCGCUCUGACUGUGGCUGCUGUGAUGUGCUGGGCUGAUGCUGAGCCCAGUAUGCAAUUCUGGGCUUCAGCAAACCCAGGAGUUAAUUCAGAUGCUGUACCAUGAUUUGGGGAAAUAAAAUCAAAUUAACCAGAGACCUUGGCCAGGAUAAUUUUCUUGAUAAGAAAUGCUAUGCGUGCAGAAAGAGUGGAACUUCUACAUGUAAAAAGAGUGAGACACAAAGUGAUCUGUUGGCAAUAUCCAACCCUACAAGAGAUGACUGAGGCAAGAUACAGGCUGGUUUAGAGACUGUGAUCAAAGGAGUGACAGCCGCUUCCAAUCUGCAUGAACUUUGUGUUUUGUCACUUGGGGUUUUCUUACAUUAGCAAGGAGUGUUACUGGCACAGCUCAAGCGAGACUAAAAAACCCUGCCACUGCCACUGCUGUUACCCAGUGCUGUCUGUACAAAGACUAUACUGCUUAAUGUCCUUCUUGUUAAUUGAAAUUGGAUUUUUUGUCUGAGAAACG
ensembl:lncRNA